rnacentral:rRNA from 1 species
AAGACCUUGCGCUUUUGGAGCGGCCGAUGCCUGAUUAGCUUGUUGGUAAGGUAAAAGCUUACCAAGGCUUCGAUCAGUAGCUGGUCUGGGAGGACGACCAGCCACACUGGGACUGAGACACGGCCCAGACUCCUACGGGAGGCAGCAGUGGGGAAUUUUGGACAAUGGGGGCAACCCUGAUCCAGCCAUGCCGCGUGAGUGAAGAAGGCCUUCGGGUUGUAAAGCUCUUUCAGCCGGAACGAAACGGUUACGGUUAACACCCGUGACUACUGACGGUACCGGAAGAAGAAGCACCGGCUAACUACGUGCCAGCAGCCGCGGUAAUACGUAGGGUGCGAGCGUUAAUCGGAAUUACUGGGCGUAAAGCGUGCGCAGGUGGUUUUGUAAGUCAGAUGUGAAAGCCCCGGGCUCAACCUGGGAACU